CCUACGGGAGGCAGCAGUGAGGAAUAUUGGUCAAUGGGCGCGAGCCUGAACCAGCCAAGUAGCGUGAAGGAUGACUGCCCUACGGGUUGUAAACUUCUUUUAUAAAGGAAUAAAGUGAGGCACGUGUGCCUUUUUGUAUGUACUUUAUGAAUAAGGAUCGGCUAACUCCGUGCCAGCAGCCGCGGUAAUACGGAGGAUCCGAGCGUUAUCCGGAUUUAUUGGGUUUAAAGGGAGCGUAGAUGGGUUGUUAAGUCAGUUGUGAAAGUUUGCGGCUCAACCGUAAAAUUGCAAUUGAUACUGGGAGGCUUGAGUACAGUUGAGGUAGGCGGAAGUGGUGGGGUAGGGGUGAACAGUUUA
rnacentral:rRNA from 1 species